rnacentral:lncRNA from 1 species
UCUUUUUUUCUCUUCACCAUGACUGAUCCUUAUUCCAAUUUCUUCACGGGCUGGUUCAAGUCCAAUCCCUUUCACCACUACCCUAAUUCCUCAACUUACCCUUCUCCUCCUCCUCCCUCUUCUUUCUUCUUCCCUCACUCCGGCGACCUCCACCGUCCACCGCCAGCAUCAACUCCUCCUCCUUCCCCUCCUCUCCGUGAAGCCCUCCCUCUCCUCAGCCUCAGCCCCGCCAACAAACAACAACACCACCAUGACCAUCAAAUUCAAGAACCACCUUCAAUCUCCAUGGAUGUUGACUACGAUCAUCAUCACCAUCAAGAUGAUCAUAACCUCGAUGACCAUGACCCUGACGUCACCGUUGCUCUUCACAUAGGCCUUCCAAGCCCUAGUCCUCAAGAUAUGGCCUCUUUGCUCAUGAUGUCUUCUUCCUCCUCUUCCUCGAGGCCCACUACUCAUUAUCUUGAGGACAUGAACGGAAAGAAAGAUCUCGACAACGACUACCAUCAAGGCGGCGUCGGAGGAGGAGAAGAUGACGAUGAAGAUUCAGUCGGUGGAGACGGCGGAUGUAGAAUAAGCAGACUCAACAAGGGUCAAUAUUGGAUCCCUACACCUUCUCAGAUUCUCAUUGGCCCUACUCAGUUCUCUUGUCCUGUUUGCUUCAAAACCUUCAACAGAUACAACAACAUGCAGGUUCUUAAAAUAAAAGCUCACUCUAAUAUAUCGUUGUCUAUUUAUGUAUGCGUAUGUUUUGAAAAAAUCGUUUUCUUUUCCAUUUGUAAAUCAAUUUUAUUUCUUCAUUUCGACUAAAACCAAAAAUUAAAACAAAAUAAUUCGUUUGCUUACCAGUUUUCUCGGGAAAAAAAACAGUUGACACCUUUAAUCGGUAGAUGUAUAUACAUAAUGUUUUAUAUGCAUGAAUAAUUCAUUGCAUUACUUCUUUUUUUUAAAAAAAGUUUAAAAGAAUUCAUUGCAUUACGAAGAACCGAGAAGCUUGAGACUGUGAAAACUGAGACUGAGAUUUAACAAUACAGUAAAUGUUCUUUAUGUCUUUAGUACUUUCAGAGUCUCUGUGGCUUUACUGCUUCUCUCUACAGUAUUGGCAAGUGUGUCAUCCUCAUUUUGUAUGAGAGUCUGCUAAUGUCUAACGUGUAAAAUAACAGUACGCAUAUAAUUUGACAUACUGUAUCAAUAACAUACGCAAGGCUUUAUUUGCUCAUAUAAGCUUCAUAAGAUUUGAUUAAAAAAAAAAGCAUAAGAUCUUGUAUUGAACAUAUGAACUAAUCAUCUUGCUUCUUAGUCUACCUUGAAUUAUUUUGUUUACCCUAAGCAUGCAAUUAUACAUCUUGUUAUUGAUUCUUUUUAGUUUAUGAAAUAUAUUUCUAUAGUUUCUUACAUUUCAGCAUUUGUGUAACAUCUUUGUUGGAUAAAUUCUUUUCUUAUCUCUUAACAUGUAUAUGCUUCAAGGUUGAUAUGCCAGUGAAUCUAUAUAUGCUGGUUAGGGUAAUUGUAAAAUCUUAUAUUUGAUACAUAUAACGAUUAACUCAUUCGUCAACUGAAGUUUCAAAACUCAUACUUUAUGAUUUUUUUCUUUACUAUAUGAGUUUAUUCAAACCCUACUACAUAUACACGAUUUUGUUUGCAGAUGCAUAUGUGGGGGCAUGGAUCACAAUACAGAAAAGGCCCCGAAUCUCUAAGGGGAACGCAGCCAACUGGAAUGCUGAGGCUUCCCUGCUACUGCUGCUCACCUGGCUGUCGCAACAACAUUGACCAUCCAAGGGCAAAGCCUCUCAAAGACUUCAGAACACUUCAAUUAUAGACAGAUAUUGGGUAAAGAACUGAAGAAGAAAGACAAGGAACAGUGCGGCAGAAUCUGCGGUGGGGAUUUGGACACUCAAUGAUCUUUACCGUUUGAGGGAAAGCCGACCAUUGAUGCGCACACCAAUGCAAUUGCUUCCCCUUUUUUCUUACAAAAUUUCUUUAAGUUAUAACUUCUAUAAUAAUAUGGUAGAAGACUAUAAGUGAUAACAUAAGCAGAAGUAUUUUUAUACUCCAUAUAAUACUUUUGGUUUUAUGAUUAGUCCAUUUUCAUUGUUACUGUACCUGCUGUUAAAAUAAGGUCCGCCUGUCUAGGACUUGAUCUUGGUACUAGCCCAUAACGAUCAAAGUCAAAUCGGGAGCCUAUUAAUGAGGCAAAUUCAAUAAAACAACAACUGGUACCAUAAAGAAGCGGCCAUAGGCUGGAAAGUCUUGACCAAUUUGAAAGAUCAUUUAACGUAGUUGAAAUAACUGAGUUUUUUGUUGUUCGAUCAAGUACGGGAAACUUAAUGGAAUUCAUAAUUGUUUCAAUGGUUUUUUUUUUACUUUUUUUUUUUUUUUUUUUUGUAACUGGGGUCCUCCUAUACUUGAUUAGCAAUCUUUAUUUAUUGUUGAAUUCUCAUGUAUACGUUUUAAUUUUAUUCUAGUUUAAACAUCAUGAUGAGGACGGCAUCUAUUAUAUAUGAAUCUAAACUCUAAAACAAAUCCCAAAACUAGCAAAAUCAUGCAUAAUGCUUCAAUUUUAGCACAAAACUCACAAGUUCUUAAACUUUAUGUCUUUUGUCGGUUGGACUGAUAAACUCAAUCCAUGGCCAACCCUACAAUGCAAGUCAAUGCAUUCUAGUGAAAUCGAAUUCCGAUGAAGUGAUUGCAGAGAUGAACAUUUAAUUACUCGAGUUCAAACAUUUCCUGAUUCUUAAAUUUAUGUUAUUAAUAUAUUUAAAGAUAAGUGAUAAAUAUAUAUUUUUCAAAAAAGUGAUAAAUAUAUAUACUAUUCAUCUCUUUUUAUUAAUUUUUACUAUUCAUAUAAUUAAUAAUUUUAGUUAUUAUUUUUGAGAUUUCACACAUUUUAAAUAUUAAAACCUAUCAUUUCGAAAUUGACAUAUAGUGUCAUUAUUUAUUCUUAUGAAAUUAUAUUUUGUAGAUUUAUACCGUGUAGGUUUAAAUUUUCAAACUAUGUUAGUCAAUCAUAUUUUUGCCAAAAUCAUUACUAUUAGUGAAUAACAUUUUUUGGUAUUGUGUAUCCUUUUUCUCUCUUGUAAAGGUGUUCACUAUAAUGAUAAGUCUUUUUAAACUAAAGGGUGUGUUAAACCACAAUUAUAUCCUAAAUUUCAAUGUGAUAAAUUCGUUCAUCUAUAAAAACUAAUUCCUUAAAUUUAUCCUCUUUAAAACUAUUAUUAAAAAUCUCAAACUGAAAAAAUGGCCUAUUUUGUUGUUGUCGUUGAGAAAAGGCGUUUAAGAUAAGAAAAUUGGUUUGGGAUGGGAGCCAAUCUCUCCAAAAAGCAGCGACAUUAUCUUUGUAUGAUGUAUCUGCACCUCAUAUGCUUUAUUGUAUUUUAGUUUUCCUAUUUUUGUCUUUAUAUUCUUUCUCAUGUACAUAUAAUUCUGUUUUACUCAUACUUGAUAUAAUUAAGUAAGCUCCAAAUAUUACAUACAACCAAUUUAUUAAGAUCGAGUAAUUUUUUUGUUUUGUCAUAAUUGGCUAAAGAUUACUGUCUUUGGCGCAUGUUUUUUUUGGGUUACUCUUCAACUUAGCUACCCUAAAUCUCAAGGGUCAAUUCAUAUUAUCUUUAGUUAUAUUUUAACGUAGUUUGUAUGAAACAGCAUCUAUAGUUUUGAGUAUAUAAUCCAUAGAUGUGAAAUACUUUGUACGUACUUGCAUAAUUUUUGUAUGGUAAUUUGGUAAUAUAAAAAUCAUAUUGUUUCACUAUGCAGUGAACAUAUAUAAUUAUUAACUGAAUUAGAUAUAUAAUUAUAAAUAAACAAUCAUCUAUAACUAUUAAUUAAAUUAGAUAUAUAUAACUAUAAAUAAAUAAUAUCCUUUAAAAUUUUAAAUAAAUAAUAAAAGGUUUGGAGUUUCGCCUCAUCUUACUCUAAAAAGAUUACGAUACCCAAAUCAUUAUAUCCCAACAUCACAUACUUUUUUUGUUAACCAUAUUUUCAUAUUUACGUACAUGAAUUCAGAUUUAAAUAUGGACAAAAGUUAUUGACAUCAUAAAUGGUAUUACAUUGUUUGGGAAGAACUGGUUCUUAUAUUCCGAUAAGAACCUCCUAAAAACACCUAUUAAUUAUGCUUUUAAAGCGGUAGUUAGAAACUGAAAUUGGCACAAUAGUUCUACAAAUAAUAAGGACCUACAUAUCUGAAUGAAAUAAUUACUGGGUAGACUAAUAUAUACAUUUGUAUUUGACCUGCUCUUUUAGUUUUGUUUUUCUUUGUUUUUGGGUUAAAGUCUGAAUUUUCUAGUUUUCACUCAGGUUGCACCAAAAAUAAAAUCACUCCACAUUUAAUAAUCUCUCUCUGGAAAAGGACCCCUCUCUCUCCCCAUCCCAUCACAAUCUCCAUCUUCAUCUCCAUCCUUGUGUCUUCUUGUAUAAAGAUAAUCCCACAAGAGUGAAAACUAUUCCCUUCACUCUUUUUUUCUCUUCACCAUGACUGAUCCUUAUUCCAAUUUCUUCACGGGCUGGUUCAAGUCCAAUCCCUUUCACCACUACCCUAAUUCCUCAACUUACCCUUCUCCUCCUCCUCCCUCUUCUUUCUUCUUCCCUCACUCCGGCGACCUCCACCGUCCACCGCCAGCACCAACUCCUCCUCCUUCCCCUCCUCUCCGUGAAGCCCUCCCUCUCCUCAGCCUCAGCCCCGCCAACAAACAACAACACCACCAUGACCAUCAAAUUCAAGAACCACCUUCAAUCUCCAUGGAUGUUGACUACGAUCAUCAUCACCAUCAAGAUGAUCAUAACCUCGAUGACCAUGACCAUGACGUCACUGUUGCUCUUCACAUAGGCCUUCCAAGCCCUAGUCCUCAAGAUAUGGCCUCUUUGCUCAUGAUGUCUUCUUCCUCCUCUUCCUCGAGGCCCACUACUCAUUAUCUUGAGGACAUGAACGGAAAGAAAGAUCUCGACAACGACUACCAUCAAGGCGGCGUCGGAGGAGGAGAAGAUGACGAUGAAGAUUCAGUCGGUGGAGACGGCGGAUGUAGAAUAAGCAGACUCAACAAGGGUCAAUAUUGGAUCCCUACACCUUCUCAGAUUCUCAUUGGCCC